UACAGAGGUCUCAAGCGUUGUUCGGAUUCAUUGGGCGUAAAAGGUGCGUAGGUGGCGCGGUAAGUCGGGUGUGAAAUCUCGGAGCUUAACUCCGAAACUGCAUUCGAUACUGCCGUGCUUGAGGACUGGAGAGGAGACUGGAAUUUACGGUGUAGCGGUGAAAUGCGUAGAUAUCGUAAGGAAGACCAGUGGCGAAGGCGGGUCUCUGGACAGUUCCUGACGCUGAGGCACGAAGGUCAGGGGAGCAAACGGG
rnacentral:rRNA from 1 species